rnacentral:rRNA from 1 species
AUUGAACGCUGGCGGCAGGCCUAACACAUGCAAGUCGAGCGGAUGAAGGGAGCUUGCUCCUGGAUUCAGCGGCGGACGGGUGAGUAAUGCCUAGGAAUCUGCCUGGUAGUGGGGGAUAACGUCCGGAAACGGGCGCUAAUACCGCAUACGUCCUGAGGGAGAAAGUGGGGGAUCUUCGGACCUCACGCUAUCAGAUGAGCCUAGGUCGGAUUAGCUAGUUGGUGGGGUAAAGGCCUACCAAGGCGACGAUCCGUAACUGGUCUGAGAGGAUGAUCAGUCACACUGGAACUGAGACACGGUCCAGACUCCUACGGGAGGCAGCAGUGGGGAAUAUUGGACAAUGGGCGAAAGCCUGAUCCAGGCAUGCCGCGUGUGUGAAGAAGGUCUUCGGAUUGUAAAGCACUUUAAGUUGGGAGGAAGGGCAGUAAGUUAAUACCUUGCUGUUUUGACGUUACCAACAGAAUAAGCACCGGCUAACUUCGUG